UUUGAUCCUGGCUCAGGGUUAACGCUAGCGGUGUGCCUAACACAUGCAAGUCGAGCGGGAUUGAGAGAAAGCUUGCUUUUGAAAUUGAGAGCGGCGAACGGGUGAGUAACAUGUUGAUAUUUGCCCCCAAGUCAGGGAUAGCUCAUCGAAAGAUGAAUUAAUACCGGAUAGUCUCUUCGGAGUAAAGAUUUAUCGCUUGGGGAGAAGUCUACAUUCUAUCAGCUUGUUGGUAAGGUAAUGGCUUACCAAGGCUAUGACGGAUAGUUGGUCUGAGAGGAUGAUCAACCACAAUGGAACUGAGACACGGUCCAUACUCCUACGGGAGGCAGCAGUGAGGAAUCUUCCACAAUGGGCGAAAGCCUGAUGGAGUGACACCGCGUGAAGGAUGACGGUUUAACGAUUGUAAACUUCUUUUCUGAAGGAGCAUAAUGAGAGUACUUUAGGAAUAAGGGACGGCUAAUUACGUGCCAGCAGCCGCGGUAAUACGUAAGUCCCGAGCAUGACCCGGAAUCACAGGGUGUAAAGCGUCUGUAGGCUGAUAAGUAAGUCAAAAAUGAAAGACUGGGGCUCAACCCCAAGUUUGUAUUUGAAACUGCUUAUCUAGAAUCAGGGAGAGGUAAGCGGAAUUCUAAGUGUAUGGGUGCAAUCCGUAGAUACUUAGAAGAACACCAAAAGCGAAGGCAGCUUACUGGAACUCGAUUGACGCUGAGAGACGAAAGCGUGGGUAGCGAAAAGGAUUAGAUACCCUUGUAGUCCACGCCCUAAACGAUGGUAAUUAAGUUUGGAGGUUGCUCCAGUGCUGUAGCUAACGCGUUAAAUUACCCACCUGAGGAGUACGGUCGCAAGAUUAAAACUCAAAGGAAUAGACGGGGACCCACACAAGCAGUGGAUCAUGUUGUUUAAUUCGACAAUAAACGGGGAACCUUACCCAGACUUGACAUCCUAGGAAUUUUCAAAUAGGGAAGUGCUCUCUUCGAGAGAAUUUGGUGACAGGUGCUGCAUGGCUGUCGUCAGCUCGUGUCGUGAGAUGUUGGGUUAAGUCCCGCAACGAGCGCAACCCUCGCCAUUAGUCGCCAUCAUUAAGUUGGGCACUCUAAUGGGACUGCCGGUGUCAAACCGGAGGAAGGCGGGGAUGACGUCAAGUCCUCAUGGCCUUUAUGACCAGGGCUACACACGUACUACAAUGGCCGGUACAACGGGCACCCACUUCGCGAGAAGGAGCAAAUCCCUAAAAGCCGGUCUCAGUCCGGAUUGGAGUCUGCAACUCGACUCCAUGAAGUUGGAAUCGCUAGUAAUCGUGGAUCAGCAUGCCGCGGUGAAUACGUUCCCGGGCCUUGUACACACCGCCCGUCACACCACGGGAGUUGGUUGUACCAGAAGCGGUUGAGCUAACCUUCGGGAGGCAUGCCGCCAAGGUAUGGCUGGUAACUGGGGUGAAGUCGUAACAAGGUAGCCAAGGGCGAA
rnacentral:rRNA from 1 species